UACCAGCACCCCGAGUGGUCGGGACGUUUAUUGGGCCUAAAGCAUCCGUAGCCGGUUCUACAAGUCUUCCGUUAAAUCCACCUGCUUAACAGAUGGGCUGCGGAAGAUACUAUAGAGCUAGGAGGCGGGAGAGGCAAGCGGUACUCGAUGGGUAGGGGUAAAAUUCGUAGAUAUUCGGAAGAACACCAGUGGCGAAGGCGGCUCACUGGACCGGUAUUGACGCUGAGGUGCGAAAGCGUGGGGAGCAAACAGG
rnacentral:rRNA from 1 species